UUUUACAGAUGGAAGACAGCAAGACACAGAGAUACUAAGCCAAAAAAUAUGUAUUAAUUGUUUGUGCUUGCCAUGGGAUUCCUUGGAUCUAAUUAUUCAAAGUACUUUAAAUUUUUGUAGUAUUAUUUAUGUUCAAUGAUCAGCUCUUCGGUAGGAGCACUGAGAUCUCCUGGAAAUCUGGCCCCAGGUGUUUCAAGAUAUAGAAUCAUCAAAAAAUGGAGGGAAGAACCUCAGGGAGUCAAUUCCAACACCCUGCUGAAGAUCAGAUGUAUCAGCCUUUUGACAUCACCAGGGCAGACUGAAAUGAUGGGAAGAAGAACUGGACCUCCCAGCAUAGAAGGAGGAAGCAUUAAAUAAAACAAAACCAGAUCAGAGCCCUGGAGCCAAGAACACUGAUCAAAGAAAAAUAUUUCUAAUUUCUUGGGAUACGCGAGGAAACCCAGGUAUAGAAACAUCCAUAUCAACACUAUGAUCAUAUUUUGAGCUUCUUCCCUACUGAUUUA